AUACUUAUCUGGAGUAGGAGAUACCGUGAUCAUGCAGGCGGUUUCCUCUGGGCGAGGCUGCUCUAUUGCACUGCGGAGGUUGACCCUUGCGAAAAUUAAUAAUAAGGAACUUCGUUCCUAU
rnacentral:snRNA from 9 species